UUAAAAAAAAAAUUGGGCACACUAAAAUUGGAAUGAUACAGAGACAAUUAGCAUGGCCCCUGCACAAGGAUGACAUGCAAAUUCGUGAAGCGUUCCAUAUUAAA